CUAUCAUCAAAAAUUACAUGAGAACCGUUUUUACACCAGAAGGGGUGAAAUAAGAAUUCGUUUGCUAUAAGUGUUAUAUUUUUGUUAUAACUUUUAUAUUCACCCGGUUUUAUACGUCAUAUUCUGUUUAUUUAUUUAAAUCGUACGUCUUUUAAGCUAUUUCAUCGUUCGGUCCAAGUUAUUUUACGUUUACACGCGUCAUUUUUGCUGUUUACACGUGACGUUUUGUCUUGUCAGCCUAAGUAUAACUCCGUUUUAUGUGUUUUCGCGUUUCUUUCGGUGUUUUUCGUAUUCUACUUGUCAUUCCGAGUCUCUAUUACGUUUCGUGUUAAAGUACCAACGUGUUUUGAAUGUUUUGAAAAAUUAAAAAUUAUGGACCUGGCUGGUAUGCACGGUGAAGAUAGAAAUAAUUGAAAACAUAAUUUUUAUAAUGCUCUAGGUUCGUUAAACUGUGUUUAACCAAAAAUACUGGUGGUUAAAAUAUUUGUUUGAUCCUAGCGCCAUCUUCAUACGAGAGUAAAUAUAAAUCCAGCGCCUGAACUACACUGCCAGUAUUUCCGAACACACCCCCGCUGAAUGUACAAAUUAUUAAAAUUAAAACAGAGAGGGACAACUAUAUAUCGAAAUUAGAAUAUAUUUUUUUUAUGAGUGUAUAGGUAUGGUUUUAAUAAAUAUAUAGGCAACGGAUGAUGUUUUGCCGUUAAGGAAAUCAUACGAUUAAUUUUUUUGGCUAUGAUAGUUUUCAUACCAAAAAUAUACUCCUCUCUCUCUGACUGCCUGUAGAGAGUUAUACUCUAAAUGCAUUUCUUUGGACAUUUUGCAAACGUCAUUCAAAGGAAGCAGUCUUUUUAAGUUAAUAAGUGGUGAAAAUUUAAAUAAAUUUUUUUUGAAAAAAAAAAUAAUUAUUUCCAUCAGUGGUGAUUUUUUUUUAAAUCGAUAUUGCGUAAAUCGCCAAACAAAUAAAUUUGAAUCCUGUUGCCUUAAAAUUGUGGAGACUCUCCUUACCUGUCCUAGGACGUUCCGAAGUUCAAAAUUGAGGAAGUAAAACAAAAUAAGAAAAGUGGUUGAUUUUCGGCGGUCCAAGAUAUCCCUUAUAGAACUGGGCCGCCGCACGUUUUUUAAUUUAUCAAAUAAAUUUGUGGAUUCAUUAUUGCGAAAUCCGUGACUCCUGGACCCAAAUUUAACUCGCUUUUUGGAUCUGGACGACAAAAAAAAGAGAGGUUAGAAGCUCCAUCAAAAGUGGUCGGUUGUCGGACACAGCCACCCAAGUCGCCCGUCCACCGGAGCACCCCCACCUCAUAUAGUCCUGGCUGGCUGCUGCCAAUUAGCCCCAGUAACGAUCCGCCUAGAAACAAAGAAAAGAAACAAAAAUUAAUAAAAAGGUCACAGUGAGUUUUUAGAAAAUAAGAAUUCAGAAGAAAAUUUUUUUUUGAGUACAAAUAAAAUCAACCCCUAUCGGAGGAACAAGAAGGCGAUUUUUGUGUUUGUGUUUGUCCUAUUCCUACAUAUAAAAUUUUGUUAAACGGCGUGAAGUUUAAAAAGAUUUGUUAUUAAAUUUGGUUAUUUUUUUUUAUUCUCAAUAUUGUUUGUGAGUGAUUAGGAAAUUUUUCUCAGUGUCGUCGGAAUAUUUAAAAGAUUCUUUGUGCAUUAGUGUUUAGCUACCUCCAAAGAGCUCUAUAGGGGUAAGAAGAACUAUUGCUUUUUCGUCGUUUUUCCUUGUUUAUAGUGUAAUAAGACCCGGAAAGAUUGGUCAGUCGAAUUUUGUUUGUUUUAUUAAGUUUAUCGACACCGUGAAAGUGUUUCUAGGUCACCCUGUCAGCAUUUGAUUUUGCUUUUCAGUUUUUUUUUUGUUAUGGAUUUUGUUCUUAUUUAUUAUUUCGUUAAUUUAGUACAUUUUGUUUUUUUUGUUAAAUUAUUCAAUUAUUAAAUUUAAAAAUUAUACGAAAUUAUAAAUUUUCUACUAUUUAAAUGUUCCCAUUGCUUGCCGAAUGUUUUUUUUAGUGUAAUAAACUUCCAAUACGCCCAUAAGAAAAAGAAAUUUUGAGUUUGUUUCACUGUUCUCUGAGUGAGAACAUGAUUAAUUGAAGACAAUUUUCAGGGGUGCCACGGUAGCUGAGUUUCGGUGAAGAUGGUAUGAUCUGAAACCGAUCAUCCACCAUCUUGGGGGAAUCCAAACACGGCCGCGGAUUUCCAUGGUUGGGAGGGAAUAGGCCACACUGCACCAACAUCCGCAGUGCCCUUGAGAUGAUGAUAGUCCGUCUGCUGUCACAUCUUUCAAAAACGGUUUUUUUUUUUCGAUUUUUGUUCUCGGCCUGAUUUAUGUUUUUGUUUGCAGGUGAGGUUAAGUUUCGGGGGCAAGAUCCCCCCCAUCCGGCGAGCUUAUGCCGUGCAUCGCAAGCAGGCCACGUCCUCCGGAACUUAGCAUUCCUUCCUUUCCUUUCCAAACACUUCCUUUUCUAAUUUCCUACCUCAUCCUAUUUCCUACCUUACCGACCUAACUACACCUCCUCCGCUCCUCUUGCCACGCAACAAUUCACUAACCAUUACAAUAUUAUUAUAAAAAAAGCUAAUCAGAUGCUUGGGCUUGGUUUCAUUAAAAGAUUUGCUCGUGACUUUCG